rnacentral:rRNA from 1 species
GUGGGUAUCUAACUCUUAGUGGGGAAUAACCCAGGGAAACCGGGGCUAAUACCGCAUAAGCUCGAGAGAGGAAAGCAGCAAUGCGCUGAGAGAGGAGCCCGCGGCCGAUUAGCUAGUUGGUAGGGUAAAGGCCUACCAAGGCAGAGAUCGGUAGCCGGCCUGAGAGGGCACACGGCCACACUGGCACUGAAACACGGGCCAGACUCCUACGGGAGGCAGCAGUGGGGAAUCUUGCACAAUGGGGGCAACCCUGAUGCAGCGACGCCGCGUGAGCGAUGAAGCCCUUCGGGGUGUAAAGCUCUUUCGUCAGGGAAGAUAAUGACGGUACCUGGAGAAGCAGCUGCGGCUAACUACGUGCCAGCAGCCGCGGUAAUACGUAGGCAGCGAGCGUUGUUCGGAGUUACUGGGCGUAAAGGGUGUGUAGGCGGUUCUUUAAGUUUAGUGUGAAAUCUCCCGGCUCAACCGGGAGGGUGCGCUGAAUGCUGAGGGACUAGAGUACGGGAGAGGAAAGUGGAAUA